UACGAAGGGGGCUAGCGUUGCUCGGAAUCACUGGGCGUAAAGGGCGCGUAGGCGGGUUCCCAAGUCCGGGGUGAAAUCUUUCGGCCCAACCGGAAAAGUGCCUUGGAUACUGGGGGUCUCGAGGGAGGUAGGGGCGGAUGGAACUUCCGGUGGAGCGGUGAAAUGCGUUGAUAUCGGAAGGAACGCCGGUGGCGAAAGCGAUCCGCUGGAUCUCUACUGACGCUGAGGCGCGAAAGCCAGGGGAGCAAACGGG
rnacentral:rRNA from 1 species